rnacentral:rRNA from 1 species
UACGGGGGGAGCAAGCGUUGUUCGGAUUUACUGGGCGUAAAGGGCGCGUAGGCGGCCACCGCAAGUCAAUUGUGAAAUCUCCGGGCUUAACUCGGAAAGGUCAACUGAUACUGCGGGGCUAGAGUGCGGAAGGGGCAACUGGAAUUCUCGGUGUAGCGGUGAAAUGCGCAGAUAUCAGGAGGAACACCGGUGGCGAAGGCGGGUCUCUGGGCCGAUAUUGACGCUGAGGAGCGAAAGCGUGGGGAGCGAACAGG